rnacentral:rRNA from 1 species
AUACGGAGGGUGCGAGCGUUAAUCGGAAUUACUGGGCGUAAAGGGCGCGUAGGUGGUUUGGUAAGUCAGAUGUGAAAUCCCUGGGCUUAACCUGGGAACUGCAUUCGAAACUGUCAAGCUAGAGUAUGGUAGAGGUGAGGGGAAUUCCUGGUGUAGCGGUGAAAUGCGUAGAUAUCAGGAGGAACAUCAGUGGCGAAGGCGCCUCACUGGACCAAUACUGACGCUGAGGAGCGAAAGCGUGGGGAGCAAACGGGAUUAGAAACCCCAGUAGUCC